GAUCAGCAUGCCGCGGUGAAUACGUUCCCGGGCCUUGUACACACCGCCAGUCACACCAUGAGAGCCGGGAACACCCGAAGUCCGUAGUCUAACCGCAAGGAGGACGCGGCCGAAGGUGGGUUUGGUAAUUGGGGUGAAGUCGUAACAAGGUAUC
rnacentral:rRNA from 1 species